GCCACUGUGUCCUGGCUUCCACGACAAGCACCACGCGACUACAAAUACCUCCCAGGGGCUGAGCCUUCCUCACAUCCUCUCUUCAUACUAUCUACCACAACUAGUUGCCAGAGUUCGUCAUGGACUUCUACAAAGAGUUCGUGGAGACUUCGUCCGAUGACGAUUCCGAAGACUGAGGUCGACACUCGACACCAUGUACGUUUAGCAAGCCCUUGAGCAACUAGGUGUUGGAGGUUCGAGCGGGCGUCGUAGACGCUCUUCCUUGCCACGUCUAGUAAUCCAUAGGGAUCACAGUGCUAGCGAAAAUCUGAUAAAGCUCCACUACUUCGGUCCAAAUCCUGUCUAUCCCGCCCACAUUUUCCAACGAAGGUUUCGGAUGCAGCGGCCUUUGUUCCUGCGUAUCCUUAGAGGUGUGCAGCAAGUGGACGGAUUUUUUUACUGUUAGGUGUGAUGCUACGGGUUUAGCGGGACUCGGUCCGUUGCAAAAAGUCUCUGCUGCUUUGCGUGUCCUCGCAUAUGGGUUGCCUACGGAUGCUGUCGAUGAGUACAUUCAAAUCGGACAAACUACCGCUAGGGACUGUCUCAUCCGUUUCUGCCAUGCAAUCAUCUCAUGCUACAACCAACGUUACCUCCGUAUUCCUAACAGAAACGAUGUUGCUCGCAUACUUCGUGUCAACGCUGAUAGGGGUUUCCCGGGCAUGCUUGGCUCAAUUGACUGUAUGCAUUGGGAAUGGCGUAACUGUCCAACUGUAUGGCGGGGUCAAUUUUGUGGCCGGAACUCACGUCCAACCAUGAUAUUAGAAGCUGUGGCGUCGUACGACCUCUGGAUUUGGCAUGCCUUUUUUGGAAUGCCAGGAAGUAACAACGACCUCAACGUGCUCCAUAGGUCUCCCAUUUUCGAUCCUUUACACAACGACGCCAUGCCCCCCCGUGCACUACACCAUCAAUGGUACACAAUUCAAUUUCGAAUAUUAUUUAGCAGAUGGCAUAUAUCUGAAUUGGCCCACAUUUGUGAAAGCUAUUCGUCACCCAUUCGAAGAAAAGAAGAUUCACUUUACCAUGAUGCAGGAGAGUGCUCGUAAAGAUAUCGAGAGAACUUUUGGUGUGUUGCAGUCGCGUCGGGCAGUACUCCGCGGGCCAGCUUAUGGUUGGGUUCGCAAUCACCUCACGGAGAUGAUGAUUGCAUGCAUUAUCAUGCAUAACAUGAUUGUCGAGGACGAAGGCGAAGGAGCAGAAAAUGUUGAUUUUGUUGGUGCCACCCCACCUCCUGAUCUUUCGACUGCAAUUCCGUAAGUCCGGAACGAGUGGUUGAACACGACUGCCUGGUCCGAAAUGCCAAAUGAAGGAGAUAUUGAUAUCACCUGCAAGAACACGUACCUAUCUUUGCAGUACAACCUUGUCGAACAUCUUUGGGCAAGGCGUGGUUCCAUGGGUUGAAGUAUGGCUACUUAAUUAAGUUGUCGAGUAUCAGUGUAAUGUGUUGGUGUCUACUUUAGUGUACUUUAGUCGAUGUAAGCCUCCAGUUGUGGUCAAGAUAACUGCUGUUAUGUGAGCGUCUUGGAUGUAACUAUGUAUGGUUUCAUCCAUACUUCAAUAAAAUUUAGAUAAUGUGUGCUUUGUUCAUUA